rnacentral:rRNA from 1 species
UACGUAGGGGGCGAGCGUUGUCCGGAUUUAUUGGGCGUAAAGAGCGUGUAGGCGGCCAGGUAGGUCUGGUGUGAAACUCGAGGCUUAACCUCGAGAUGUCAUCGGAAACCAUCUGGCUAGAGUCCGGAAGAGGAGAGUGGAAUUCCUGGUGUAGCGGUGAAUGCGCAGAUAUCAGGAAGAACACCAAUGGCGAAAGCAGCUCUCUGGGACGGUACUGACGCUGAGACGCGAAAGCGUGGGAGCAACAGG